AGUCGAACGAGAGAUCCGGACGGAAGUUUUCGGACGGAAGAGCGGAUUUCGAGUGGCGGACGGGUGAGUAACGCGUGGGGAACCUGCCUCAUACAGGGGGAUACCAGCCGGAAACGGCUGUUAAAACCGCAUAAGACCACAGAGCCGCAUGGCUCAGGGGUAAAAACUCCGGUGGUAUGAGGUGGACCCGCGUUCGAUUAGCCAGUUGGCGGGGUAACGGCCCACCAAAGCGACGAUCGAUAGCCGAUCUGAGAGGAUGACCGGCCACAUUGGGACUGAGACACGGCCCAAACUCCUACGGGAGGCAGCAGUGGGGAAUAUUGCACAAUGGAGGGAACUCUGAUGCAGCGACGCCGCGUGAGUGAAGAAGUAUUUCGGUAUGUAAAGCUCUAUCAGCAGGGAAGAAGAUGACGGUACCUGAAUAAGAAGCCCCGGCUAACUACGUGCCAGCAGCCGCGGUAAUACGUAGGGGGCAAGCGUUAUCCGGAUUUACUGGGUGUAAAGGGAGCGCAGACGGCUGUGCAAGUCUGAAGUGAAAGCCCGCGGCUCAACUGCGGGAUUGCUUUGGAAACUGUGCGGCUUGAGUAUCGGAGAGGUAAGCGGAAUUCCAAGUGUAGCGGUGAAAUGCGUAGAUAUUUGGAGGAACACCGGUGGCGAAGGCGGCUUACUGGACGAAAACUGACGUUGAGGCUCGAAGGCGUGGGGAGCAAACAGGAUUAGAUACCCUGGUAGUCCACGCGGUAAACGAUGAAUACUAGGUGUCGGUGCC
rnacentral:rRNA from 1 species